UGAAGUCGGAAUCGCUAGUAAUCGUAGAUCAGAAUGCUACGGUGAAUACGUUCCCGGGCCUUGUACACACCGCCCGUCACACCAUGGGAGUGGGUUGCAAAAGAAGUAGGUAGCUUAACCUUCGGGAGGGCGCUUACCACUUUGUGAUUCAUGACUGGGGUGAAGUCGUAACAAGGUAACCGUAGGGGAACCUGCGGUUGGAUCACCUCCUUA
rnacentral:rRNA from 2 species